UACGUAGGGGGCGAGCGUUGUCCGGAUUUAUUGGGCGUAAAGAGCUCGUAGGCGGUUCGAUAAGUCGGACGUGAAAUCUCCACGCUCAACGUGGAGGGGCCGUUCGAUACUGUCGUGACUCGAGUCCGGUAGGGGAGUGUGGAAUUCCCGGUGUAGCGGUGAAAUGCGCAGAUAUCGGGAGGAACACCAAUUGCGAAGGCAGCUCGCUGGGACGUCACUGACGCUGAGACGCGAAAGCGUGGGGAGCAAACAGG
rnacentral:rRNA from 1 species